AUGGACAUGUCCGGGCUCCCUCCUCUCGCCGUGGCCUUCUUCCACCUAUGCCUCCUCCUCUCCUCGUCGUCCUCUCUCCGGGUGCUGGUAGCCCCCGACACGGUGGAGGAGAGCACGGGCCGCAAUGGCAGCAGGACCGCCUACCACUUCCAGCCCGCCAAGAACUGGAUGAACGAAAAUCGUGCGCAUGAUGCACAGGAGGGAGGAAGAGAUACAGAGACGGAGACGAGAGAGACCGUGUUACACAUGAAUUUGCCUGAACACAUAAUUCUGCUAUGA
rnacentral:rRNA from 1 species